rnacentral:ribozyme from 1 species
UCUUUUGUUUUCUUUUUCUUUUCUUUUAUUUCUGUUUUCUUUUUGCA